UGCUCCUACGGGAGGCAGCAGUGGGGAAUAUUGCACAAUGGGGGAAACCCUGAUGCAGCGACGCCGCGUGAGCGAUGAAGUAUUUCGGUAUGUAAAGCUCUAUCAGCAGGGAAGAAAAUGACGGUACCUGACUAAGAAGCCCCGGCUAACUACGUGCCAGCAGCCGCGGUAAUACGUAGGGGGCAAGCGUUAUCCGGAUUUACUGGGUGUAAAGGGAGCGUAGACGGCGGUGCAAGCCGGAUGUGAAAGCCCGGUGCUCAACCCCAGGACUGCAUUUGGAACUGUUGUGUUAGA
rnacentral:rRNA from 1 species